UACGUAGGGUCCGAGCGUUGUCCGGGAUUAUUGGGCGUAAAGGGCUCGUAGGCGGUCUGUUGCGUCGGGAGUGAAAACUUACAGCUUAACUGUGAGCGUGCUUUCGAUACGGGCAGACUUGAGGCAUUCAGGGGAGAACGGAAUUCCUGGUGUAUCGGUGAAAUGCGCAGAUAUCAGGAGGAACACCGGUGGCGAAGGCGGCAUCCUGGACCGAUACUGACGCUGAGGAGCGAAAGCCAGGGGAGCAAACGGG
rnacentral:rRNA from 1 species